UACAGAGGGGCCGAGCGUUAGGCGGAAUCACUGGGCUUAAAGCGUGUGUAGGCGGUCGUCUAAGUACCUUGUGGAAUCCCACGGCUCACCCGUGGAACUGCUGGGUAUACUGGGCGUCUUGAGCCACCUAGGGGCCAGCGGAACAAAUGGUGGAGCGGUGAAAUGCGUUGAUAUCGGAAGGAACGCCGGUGGCGAAAGCGACGUACUGGACCUCUUCUGACGCUGAGGCGCGAAAGCUAGGGGAGCAAACGGG
rnacentral:rRNA from 1 species